AUUGAACGCUGGCGGCAGGCCUAACACAUGCAAGUCGAACGAGUGGCGGACGGGUGAGUAAUGUCUGGGCAACUGCCUGAUGGAGGGGGAUAACUACUGGAAACGGUGGCUAAUACUGCAUACCAUGGGAUGGGCUCCGAUGGGAUUAGCGAGUAGGUGGGGUAAUGGCUCACCUAGGCGACGAUCCCUAGCGGGUCUGAGAGGGUGACCAGCCACACUGAAACUGAGAAACGGUCCAGACUCCUACGGGAGGCAGCAGUGGGGAAUAUUGCGCAAUGGGCGCAAGCCUGAUGCAGCAAUGCCGCGGGUGUGAAGAAGGCCUUCGGGUUGUAAAGUACUUUCAGCGGGGAGGCGUUAACCGCAGAAGAAGCAACGGCUAACUCCGUGCCAGCAGCCGCGGUAAUUC
rnacentral:rRNA from 1 species